rnacentral:rRNA from 1 species
GCUUGUCUCAAAGAUUAAGCCAUGCAUGUCUCAGUAUAAGUUCCUGUACGGCGAAACUGCGAAUGGCUCAUUAUAUCAGUUAUAGUUUAUUUGAUGGUGACUUACUACAUGGAUAACCGUAGUAACCUAGAGCUAAUACAUGCACAAAAUCCCGACUUCACGGAAGGGAUGUAUUUAUUAGAUAAAAAACCAAUCCGGCAACGGUGCUUGGUGAUUCAUAAUAACUGUUCGAAGCGCACGGCCUCGCGCCGGCGCUAGUUCAUUCAAAUUUCUGCCCUAUCAGCUUUCGACGGUAGUGUAGUGGACUACCGUGGCGCUAACGGGUGACGGAGAAUUAGGGUUCGGUUCCGGAGAGGGAGCCUGAGAAACGGCUACCACAUCCAAGGAAGGCAGCAG